GUCUUUAUGGGUUUUAUAUAAAGUCUAGCCUGCCCAAUGAUGUAAAAUUUAAUGGCCGCGGUAUACUGACCGUGCGAAGGUAGCAUAAUAAUUAGUCUUUUAAUUGAAGGCUGGAAUGAAAGGUUGAACAAAAAGUUGACUGUCUCUGAAUUAAAUCUUGAAUUUAACAUUUAAGUGAGAAGGCUUAAAUAUCUUAGGGGGACGAUAAGACCCUAUAAAUCUUCAUAUUUGAGCUUAUAAAAUAAGAUAUUAGUAUGCUUUUUAUUUGAUGGGUUUAAAUAUUUUGUUGGGGCGACAGGGGUAUAAAAUGUAACUGCUCUAGAGUAAUAGUUAGUCGAUAUCUAGUUAUGUGAUCCUUUAGUAGAGAUGUUAGUUUAAGUUACUUUAGGGAUAACAGCGUAAUUUUUUUUGAGAGUUCGUAUCGAAAAAAAAGUUUGCGACCUCGAUGUUGAAUUAAAGAUCCUUUGCGGCGCAGAAGUUGUAAGAGGAGGUCUGUUCGACCUUUAAAUCUUU
rnacentral:rRNA from 1 species